rnacentral:rRNA from 1 species
GGAAGGAUCAUUACCGAAUUGUCAAACACGGGUUGUUGCUGGCCCCCGAACGGGGCAUGUGCACGCUCUGUUUACACAUCCACUCACACCUGUGCACCCUCUGUAGUUCUGUGGACCGGGAGACAUUGUCUUCCUUCCGUAGCUCUACGUCUUUACACACACACCGUAGCGAUGUCUCAUGGAAUGUUUUUUCGCGUUUAACGCAAUACAAUACAACUUUCAGCAACGGAUCUCUUGGCUCUCGCAUCGAUGAAGAACGCAGCGAAAUGCGAUAAGUAAUGUGAAUUGCAGAAUUCAGUGAAUCAUCGAAUCUUUGAACGCACCUUGCGCCCCUUGGUUAUUCCUCGGAGCAUGCCUGUUUGAGUAUCAUGAACACCUCAACUCUCAUGGUCUUCCAUGAUGAGCUUGGACUUUGGGGGUUUGCUGGCCUUGUGGCCGGCUCCUCUCAAAUGAAUCAGCUUGCCAGUGUUUGGCGGCGUCACGGGUGUGAUAACUAUCUACGCUCGUGGUUGUCCGUCAGGUAACCCUCAGCGAUGAAGGUUCAUUGGGGCUCAUAAACGUCUCUCCCCAGCGAGGACAACUUUUGAACGUUCGAUCUCAAAUCA